UUGUCGUCAGCUCGUGUCGUGAGAUGUUGGGUUAAGUCCCGCAACGAGCGCAACCCUUGAUUUUAGUUGCCAGCAUUUAGUUGGGCACUCUAAAGUGACUGCCGGUGCAAGCCGGAGGAAGGUGGGGAUGACGUCAAAUCAUCAUGCCCCUUAUGACCUGGGCUACACACGUGCUACAAUGGAUAGUACAAAGGGUCGCGAAGCCGCGAGGUGGAGCUAAUCCCAUAAAACUAUUCUCAGUUCGGAUUGUAGGCUGCAACUCGCCUACAUGAAGCCGGAAUCGCUAGUAAUCGUGGAUCAGCAUGCCACGGUGAAUACGUUCCCGGGCCUUGUACACACCGCCCGUCACACCACGAGAGUUUGUAACACCCGAAGUCGGUAGGGUAACCUUUAUGGAGCCAGCCGCCGAAGGUGGGACAGAUAAUUGGGGUGAAGUCGUAACAAGGUAGCCGUAUCGGAAGGUGCGGCUGGAUCACCUCCUUUCUAAGGAA
rnacentral:rRNA from 1 species